GAUACGGCGACCACGGGGAUCUCUUCUUUUUUCACGCUGCCCUCGACUCAGACGCGAUUACCCGCCGAACUUAAGCAUAUCGCUAAGCGGAGGAAAAGAAACCAACCGGGAUUCCCUAAGUAACGGCGAGUGAACCGGGAGAAGCCCAACGCCGAAUCUCGUCGGCCGCGCCGGUCGUCGAGAGCUGUGGCGCAAGGGUCGUACACGGUCGAUCGUUUCGCCCGGCUAGGUUCGGAGUCCCCUCGAUCGGGGCUGCCCAGAGCGGGUGCCAGGCCCAUUCGGAGCCG